CUCCAGAACUUCCUUCUACUCUUGUUUCCUUGGAUCUGUGGCUUAAUAAGGUGCAAUGGUUGAGUGAGAAAGUCUGGUUAGUGAGAGAAAGUAAAGGAAUGGAGAGGAGGAUCGCAAAAGCAAGUACUUCUAAAGGCAAAAGAGUAGUGAUUGAUAGAUCUUGAAGGUGAAAGAAGAAGCAAGAGAUCUUGUGUAUAUAUAUUUUGCUUAAAAUGCUUCUUGUAUUUUAUUAUUUUGGAGUAAGGAUAUAAUGUGUAUAUAUUUUGUUGUGUAAAUAUUCUUCCAUAAGGAGAUGACUAAGGGCAGAUAAACUAUAAUGACCGCCAUUGAUAGGAAUAGCCUACAUGUUGAUAUAUAGUUUUUAUUAUGCCCAGAUUGUAUAUAUGAGUAUAUGUACCCUUUUGUACGGACCAGUAGCCAGGGUAUUGAAUGUUAAGCCCUGCUAAUUAUAUAUUUAAUUAGUUAUAGGUUGCUUUGAAA